UACGUAGGUGGCAAGCGUUGUCCGGAUUUACUGGGCGUAAAGAGCGCGCAGGCGGUCGUUUAAGUCGAAUGUGAAAGCCCCCGGCUCAACUGGGGAGGGUCAUUCGAUACUGAUCGACUUGAAGGCAGGAGAGAGAAGUGGAAUUCCCGGUGUAGUGGUGAAAUGCGUAGAUAUCGAGGAGACACCAGGUGGCGAAGGCGGUUCU
rnacentral:rRNA from 1 species